rnacentral:rRNA from 1 species
AUUGAACGCUGGCGGCAGGCCUAACACAUGCAAGUCGAGCGAGCGGCGGACGGGUGAGUAAUGUAUGGGGAUCUGCCCGAUAUAGGGGGCUAACUACUGGAAACGGUGGCUACUACCGCUUACUACCGGUUGCACCCAGGUGGGAUUAGCUAGUGGGGGGGGUAAAGGCUCACCUGGGCGACGAUCUCUAGCUGGUCUGAGAGGAUGAUCAGCCACACUGGGACUGAGACACGGCCCAAACUCCUACGGGAGGCAGCAGUAGGGAAUCUUCGGCAAUGGACGCAAGUCUGACCGAGCAACGCCGCGUGUGUGAAGAAGGUCUUCGGAUCGUAAAGCACUGUUAUCAGAGAAGCGGUAACUGAUCAGAAAGCCACGGCUAACUACGUGCCAGCAGCCGCGGUAAUUC